UACAGGGGGGGCUAGCGUUGUUCGGAAUUACUGGGCGUAAAGGGCGCGUAGGCGGUCUACUAAGUUGGAUGUGAAAACUCUGGGCUUAACCCAGAGCCUGCAUUCAAAACUGAUAGGCUAGAGUUCUGGAGGGGAUAGCGGAAUUCCUGGUGUAGCGGUGAAAUGCGUAGAUAUCAGGAGGAACACCGGUGGCGAAGGCGCCUAUCUGGCCCGAUACUGACGCUGAGGCGCGAAAGCUAGGGGAGCAAACGGG
rnacentral:rRNA from 1 species